UUUUAGAUCUCUUUGACUAAACCGUUGGCGUGUUCGUUUUCAGAUUACGGAAUAUUUCAGAUGACUUUGAGGAAGUUUCCAAACAGGCAUAGAAACGGCCAGUGUUUAGAUUGCAGUAAUUCAUCAUGUCACCACAAGCCAGCAAAGAAGAGGGGGAGAAAAUGACAAAGACUACAUUAGUCGUGCCACCAUCUCACUGUCCUCAUUCAUUGAUUUUGCAUACUCUUGGACACUUGCAUUCAUCAGUGCUCUUCACACUUGAACUUGUUACUUUGAGCCUCAAGGUACGUCAGUCAUGAUUAUAUGACCAACUGUCUUUUUUCCUCCUUCUGUUCACCACUUAAAGGUGCAAUCCUGAAUUCAAAUGCAAUAGAUCAGCAUACAAGUCACAUACUGUACGCAAUAUACUAUUUCAGCCAAUCAGCACUUUCCUGUCCUCCUUUUCUGUGAACUAGCCAACAGUGACAAAUGGUUAGAUAUUUCUUUUAGAUAAAAAAAAAAGACAGACAGAAAAAUAUAAGUUCUCAUGCAGCUUGUAAUUGCAAAAUGAUCUUUCAUCUUGAACAAUGAGCCUUGAUUUUGUGUUCAAGAUGUUCCAGGUCCAUACAACCAGAAAAGUAAUCUUCCUUUUAUCCAUGCUGGUGGUUUGUUCUUCAGUGUCUGACAGACAAUGUCCACCAGACCUCACUGGAUGGCCUGGCCCUCCUGGACGACCUGGUUCUCGUGGACCUCCUGGCUACCCUGGACCUCCUGGCUACCGGGGACCUCCUGGCUCCCUCGGACAACCUGGCCCCCCUGGACCACCUGCCCUCCCUGGAAAACCGGGCCUACCUGGUCCACCUGGCACCUUUGGACCUCCCGGCCCCCCCGGACCACCUAGCAAGACUGGAUCAUCUGGCCGUGAUGGACCUACUGGUCCCCAGCAAUCUGCACCUGCUCUGAAGGAGCGCCUUUGAAUUGAGGAACAACAGAGAGAACAUGCAAUCAUCUAUUUUGACAGACGUCCAGCGCGGCCGACAACCCAAUAACAAUGGCGCUGAUUGGCUGAUCCCUGCUUCGCAAACAAGUUCCUUAACCAUCGUGUUUUACAAUAAACUCUUCACUUCAUCACA
rnacentral:lncRNA from 1 species